rnacentral:rRNA from 1 species
AUGAUAAUCCUCAUUUUUCAGGUUAUAAACCAUGGGAUCAGUCAAACUGUCAUGGACCGUGCCGUUGAAGUAGCUUCAGAUUUCUUCAAACUGCCAAGUGAGACAAAGCAGGAGUUUGCAUCAGACGACAUCCGAAGGCCUGUUAGAUACGGCACCAGCUCAAAGGACGGCACUCGUCCGUCACGGGCAUUCCUAAAGCAUUAUGCCCAUCCCCUCAGUGAAUGGAUGAAAUAUUGGCCAGAAAAACCACCAACCUACAGGGAGGACAUGGGAAAAAUUUCAGCUGAAGUAAGGAGGGUGGCUCUGCAGCUGAUGGAAGCCAUACUUGAAGGCCUAGGACUGGGCAAAGACUACCAGCAUGAAGAAUUUGAGAGAGGAUUGCAGCUACUGCAAGUGAACUGCUACCCGAAAGAACCAGAAAGCGAAUCGGCGAUAGGGCUGGCGCCACAUUCCGACCACGGAUUUCUUACCAUCUUGCUCGCGAGCUGCCCGGGCCUGGAGGUCCUUGACCGCAGUAGUGACACUUGGAGGGUGGUCCAGCAACCCCGGCACGCGUUGCACGUCCACGUAAGGGACUACAUGGAGGUUCUGAGCAAUGGCAGGGUGAAGACCGUCGUGCACCGUGCUGUCCUGAACCCUGGAGAGGCGAGGAUCUCCAUGGCGAGCAUCCAUAGUUUUGCAAUGCACGAGAAGGUCUCCGUUGCCAAGAAGCUGGUGGAUGAGCAAGAUCCUGAGAAAUACAAGGAGAGCAGCUUCAGUGACUUCCUGGACUACCUCAUGAGCAAUGCAGACAAGAAGCGCAUGAGCUUUCUUGAGAGCCUUAGGAUUUGA